rnacentral:rRNA from 1 species
CCUACGGGUGGCUGCAGUGGGGAAUAUUGCACAAUGGGCGCAAGCCUGAUGCAGCCAUGCCGCGUGUGUGAAGAAGGCCUUCGGGUUGUAAAGCACUUUCAGCGGGGAGGAAGGCGUUAAGGUUAAUAACCUUGGCGAUUGACGUUACCCGCAGAAGAAGCACCGGCUAACUCCGUGCCAGCAGCCGCGGUAAUACGGAGGGUGCAAGCGUUAAUCGGAAUUACUGGGCGUAAAGCGCACGCAGGCGGUCUGUCAAGUCGGAUGUGAAAUCCCCGGGCUCAACCUGGGAACUGCAUUCGAAACUGGCAGGCUAGAGUCUUGUAGAGGGGGGUAGAAUGCCAGGUGUAGCGGUGAAAUGCGUAGAGAUCUGGAGGAAUACCGGUGGCGAGGCGGCCCCCUGGACAAAGACUGACGCUCAGGUGCGAAAGCGUGGGGAGCAAACAGGAUUAGAUACCCCGGUAGUC